rnacentral:rRNA from 1 species
UACGUAGGGUGCGAGCGUUAAUCGGAAUUACUGGGCGUAAAGGGCGCGUAGGCGGCCUUCUAAGUCGAACGUGAAAUCCCUGGGCUCAACCCAGGAACUGCGUCCGAUACUGGAAGGCUUGAAUCCGGGAGAGGGAUGCGGAAUUCCAGGUGUAGCGGUGAAAUGCGUAGAUAUCUGGAGGAACACCGGUGGCGAAGGCGGCAUCCUGGACCGGUAUUGACGCUGAGGCGCGAAAGCCAGGGGAGCAAACGGG